AGAGUUUGAUCCUGGCUCAGAACGUACGCUGGCGGCACGCCUAACACAUGCAAGUCGAACGAAGUAGCAAUACUUAGUGGCAGACGGGUGAGUAACAUGUAGGUAUCUACCCUUUGGCCUGGAAUAACACGAGGAAACUUGUGCUAAUACUGGAUAAGUCUUUACGGAGAAAGCUUUAUGCACCAUUGGAUGAGCCUGCACUUGAUUAGUUUGUUGGUGGGGUAAUGGCCUACCAAGACUUUGAUCAAUAGCUGAUUUGAGAGGAUGAUCAGCCACAUUGGGACUGAGACACGGCCCAAACUCCUACGGGAGGCAGCAGUGGGGAAUCUUGCACAAUGGAGGAAACUCUGAUGCAGCGAUGCCGCGUGAGUGAAGAAGGCCCUUGGGCUGUAAAGCUCUUUCGUCGGGGAAGAAAAUGACUGUACCCGAAUAAGAAGGUCCGGCUAACUUCGUGCCAGCAGCCGCGGUAAUACGAAGGGACCUAGCGUAGUUCGGAAUUACUGGGCUUAAAGAGUUCGUAGGUGGUUGAAAAAGUUGGUGGUGAAAUCCCAGAGCUUAACUCUGGAACUGCCAUCAAAACUUUUCAGCUAGAGUAUGAUAGAGGAAAGCAGAAUUUCUAGUGUAGAGGUGAAAUUCGUAGAUAUUAGAAAGAAUACCAAUUGCGAAGGCAGCUUUCUGGAUCAUUACUGACGCUGAGGAACGAAAGCAUGGGUAGCGAAGAGGAUUAGAUACCCUCGUAGUCCAUGCCGUAAACGAUGUGUGUUAGACGUUGGAAAUUUAUUUUUAGUGUCGCAGCGAAAGCAAUAAACACACCGCCUGGGGAGUACGACCGCAAGGUUAAAACUCAAAUGAAUUGACGGGGACCCGCACAAGUAGUGGAGCAUGUGGUUUAAUUCGAAGAUACGCGCAGAACCUUACCAACACUUGACAUGUUCGUCGCGACUCUAAGAGAUUAGAGUUUUCGGUUCGGCCGGACGAAACACAGGUGCUGCAUGGCUGUCGUCAGCUCGUGUCGUGAGAUGUUGGGUUAAGUCCCGCAACGAGCGCAACCCUCACUUUUAGUUGCCAUCAUUUAGUUGGGCACUCUGAAAGAACUGUCAGUGAUAAGCUGGAGGAAGGUGGGGAUGACGUCAAGUCCUCAUGGCCCUUACGUGUUGGGCUACACACGUGCUACAAUGGUAUCUACAACAGGAAGCAAAACUGCGAGGUUAAGCAAAUCCUUAAAAGAUACCUCAGUUCGGAUUGCACUCUGCAACUCGAGUGCAUGAAGCUGGAAUUACUAGUAAUCGUGGAUCAGCGUGCCACGGUGAAUGCGUUCCCGGGUCUUGUACACACCGCCCGUCACACCAUGGGAGUUGGUUCUACCUUAAGGCAAGGUUUAAAACCCUUGACCACGGUAUAGUCAGCGACUGGGGUGAAGUCGUAACAAGGUAACC
rnacentral:rRNA from 1 species